UAUCUCUGUAGAGUCUGCAUAUCAAUAAGCGGAGGAAAAGAAACUAACAAGGAUUCCCUUAGUAACGGCGAGUGAAGCGGGAAGAGCUCAAAUUUGAAAUCUUCAAGGUUCUACCUUGACGAAUUGUAGUUUAAAGAAGUGUUUUCUGUUAGAUGAGUAGCAAAAGUUCCUUGGAAUGGGACAUCAUAGAGGGUGAGAAUCCCGUAUUUGGUUAUUCAUUCUAGCUUUGUGAUACACUUUCAAAGAGUCGGAUUGUUUGGGAAUGCAGUCCAAAAUGGGUGGUAAAUUUCAUCUAAAGCUAAAUAUUGGCGAGAGACCGAUAGCGAACAAGUACCGUGAGGGAAAGAUGAAAAGAACUUUGAAAAGAGAGUUAAACAGUACGUGAAAUUGUCAAAAGGGAAGCGUUUGACACCAGUGUUGUUUUUUCCGAAAAUCAAUUACGAAUGGCUUGAUUUUGUGUUGUAUUGACCUUAUCAGCUUUCUGCACUUUUUUCGAGUCUUUCUUAAUGCACUUUUCGGUUAACAAGUCAACAUCAAUUUCUUUUGUUGUAAAAGAGUAUUCGGAAGGUGGCUUUCUUUUCGGAGAAAGUGUUUAUAGCCCUAUACUUCUACAAUCGGAGAGAUUGAGGUCUGCAGCGUAGAUCCUUCGGGGUUAGAUACACUUUGUGCUAAGUUGUAGCUUUUCAUAGACAACUUGUUGACUAUGUUUAGUCAUGCGGCUUACUCGCUUAGUGCUAUUUUACCUACGCUUAGGAUGUUGACUGAUAUGUAGUCGUA
rnacentral:rRNA from 1 species